rnacentral:rRNA from 1 species
GAUGAACGCUGGCGGCGUGCCUAAUACAUGCAAGUCGAGCGAACAGACGAGGAGUUUGCCUCUCUGCCGCUAGCGGCGGACGGGUGAUUAACACGAGGAUAACCUACAUAUAAGAAUGGCGUACCGUAGCGAGACCUAAGCUAACACACGUCAUGAUAUUGAACCUCAUGGUUCAUUAGUGCUAGACCGUUUUGCUGUCACUUAUAGGUGGUUGCGGGUCGCUUUAGCUAGUUGGUAAGGUAACGGCUUACCAAGGCAACGAUGCGUAGCCGAUCUGAGAGGAGGAUCAGCCACACUGGAACUGAGACACGGUCCAGACUCCUACGGGAGGCAGCAGUAGGGAAUCUUCCACAUUGGGCGAAAGCCUGACGCAGCAAAGCCGCGUGUGUGAAGAAGGUCUUCGGAUUGUAAAGCUCUGUUAGUAGGGAAGAACAACUGUAUAAGUAACUCUGGAUGUCUUGACGUUACCAACAGAAUAAGCCCCGGCUAACUACGUG